rnacentral:rRNA from 1 species
GACGAACGCUGGCGGCGUGCCUAACACAUGCAAGUCGAGCGAGUGAAUCUCCUUCGGUAGUGAAGCUAGCGGCGGACGGGUGAGUAACACGUGGGCAACCUGCCUCAUAGAGGGGAAUAGCCUUUCGAAAGGAAGAUUAAUACCGCAUAAGAUUGUAGCUUCGCAUGAAGUAGCCAUUAAAGGAGCAAUCCGCUAUGAGAUGGGCCCGCGGCGCAUUAGCUAGUUGGUGAGGUAACGGCUCACCAAGGCGACGAUGCGUAGCCGAACUGAGAGGGUGAUCGGCCACAUUGGGACUGAGACACGGCCCAGACUCCUACGGGAGGCAGCAGUGGGGAAUAUUGCACAAUGGGGGAAACCCUGAUGCAGCAACGCCGCGUGAGUGAUGACGGCCUUCGGGUUGUAAAGCUCUGUCUUCAGGGACGAUAAUGACGGUACCUGAGGAGGAAGCCACGGCUAACUACGUGCCAGCCGCCGCCGUAAGAC